rnacentral:rRNA from 1 species
UUGCUCUUCAACGAGGAAUGCCUAGUAAGCGCAUGUCAUCAGCAUGCGUUGAUUACGUCCCUGCCCUUUGUACACACCGCCCGUCGCUACUACCGAUUGAAUGGCUCAGUGAGGCCUCCGGACUGGCUCGAAGAGGUUGGCAACGACCACUUCGAGCCGGAAAGCUGGUCAAACUCGGUCAUUUAGAGGAAGUAAAAGUCGUAACAAGGUUUCCGUAGGUGAACCUGCGGAAGGAUCAUUACCUAGAGUUUGUAGACUUCGGUCUGCUACCUCUUACCCAUGUCUUUUGAGUACCUUCGUUUCCUCGGCGGGUCCGCCCGCCGAUUGGACAACAUUCAAACCCUUUGCAGUUGCAAUCAGCGUCUGAAAAAACAUAAUAGUUACAACUUUCAACAACGGAUCUCUUGGUUCUGGCAUCGAUGAAGAACGCAGCGAAAUGCGAUAAGUAGUGUGAAUUGCAGAAUUCAGUGAAUCAUCGAAUCUUUGAACGCACAUUGCGCCCUUUGGUAUUCCAAAGGGCAUGCCUGUUCGAGCGUCAUUUGUACCCUCAAGCUUUGCUUGGUGUUGGGCGUUUUUUGUCUUUGGUUGCCAAAGACUCGCCUUAAAAGGAUUGGCAGCCGGCCUACUGGUUUCGCAGCGCAGCACAUUUUUGCGCUUGCAAUCAGCAAAAGAGGACGGCAAUCCAUCAAGACUCCUUCUCACGUUUGACCUCGGAUCAGGUAGGGAUACCCGCUGAACUUAAGCAUAUCAAUAAGCGGAGGA